rnacentral:tRNA from 1 species
GCCUAGUUAGCUUAGUUGGUAGCGCGUCUGCCCUGUAAGCGCUAGGCCGCGGGUUCGAUUUCCGCUCGGGGCG